CUCUGUCUUCUUGAGAAGCUUACCCGCCUAACACCGCAGAUGAGAGCACCUGGAAAAAAACAAGUUCUGCUCGGGCAGCAGGAAGAGAGCUGACGCGCUUCAAACUGGUUGGUUUUGUUCCGGGGUUUGGCUCUUCCUCUGACUCUACGUUUGCAUCUACCUGAAAAGGGACGACUUUUUUUCUUCCUACCCGCCACUCCAGAGGUCGACUGUCCUUCAGCAGGAGCAGGAAGGAGGAAGACUAGCCCACCGGGCGUCCAGAGCUCUUAUACAAUGCUGCCUCUUGUCUUGGGUUUCUGGCUCGGUGACCACACCUGGGAAAAGACUGGAGGGCCUGCAGCACUGGUUUAUAAUGCUGAUGAUUAACUAAAUAGAGUCUGGGAGCAGGUCCGCUUGGCUUUCUCAUUUCAUGGGGCCUGACUGAUCGAGAGGAAGACGAAGCGUUCUCAGGCAGCAGGGUGGAAAUUUAAAAUCUUUUUUCUCUUUCUUUUUUCCAGCCCCCUCCCUCCAAACCUGCUCACUUUACUUUGGUUUUGUUACAUUCUUUCCUUGGGGGUACCUUUCAUGACGCAAUAACUGAAUUCCUUCUGGGGACUUGGCUUUUCUCCAGGUACAGUAGAACAAUGCACACAGUUUUUGAAACUUCUAUCAAAAACCAUCUAACAAAAACUAUCUUUGAAACACUUUGUAUAUAAUGUUAACUGUAUGUACUGUAAAUAUGAUUUCAUAUAAUGUAAAUGGAAAGAUUCAAUAAAGUGAA